rnacentral:rRNA from 1 species
GAUGAACGCUGGCGGCGUGCUUAACACAUGCAAGUCGAGCGAAGCACUUAAGUCUGAUUCUUCGGAUGAAGACUUUUGUGACUGAGCGGCGGACGGGUGAGUAACGCGUGGGUAACCUGCCUCAUACAGGGGGAUAACAGUUAGAAAUGACUGCUAAUACCGCAUAAGACCACGGUACCGCAUGGUACAGUGGUAAAAACUCCGGUGGUAUGAGAUGGACCCGCGUCUGAUUAGGUAGUUGGUGGGGUAACGGCCUACCAAGCCAACGAUCAGUAGCCGACCUGAGAGGGUGACCGGCCACAUUGGGACUGAGACACGGCCCAGACUCCUACGGGAGGCAGCAGUGGGGAAUAUUGCACAAUGGAGGAAACUCUGAUGCAGCGACGCCGCGUGAAGGAUGAAGUAUUUCGGUAUGUAAACUUCUAUCAGCAGGGAAGAAAAUGACGG